CUGCAACCUCUGCCUCCUGGGUUUAAGCGGUUCUCCUGCCUCAGCCUCCCGAGUAGCUGGGAUUACAGGUGUGCACCAUCAUGCCGAGCCAAUUUUUGUAUUUUUAGUAGAGACAGGAUUUCCCCAUGUUGGCCAGACUGGUUUCAAACUUCUGACCUCAGGUGAUCUACCUGCCUUGGCCUCCCAAAGUGCUGGGAUUACAGGUAUGAGCCACUGUGCCCAGCCUCAAGUCACCCUUGUUAGUUUGGCUUACCAACUUUAAAGUUUUGGAUUGCUUUUGUCAAGCCACUGGGUUGCAAGUUCAGAUGGUCUUUCUUGUUUUUCUUAGCUAAUUGUAAGUAAAAUUCACUUUGGUAAUUUAUUGUGUCACAUAGAAUUGAAGUUUUUCUCUUGCUAAUAUUAUUCCUAUUUUCAAAUUUUGGGGUUCCUGUUAGCCUGAUUUUCGGAUAGCUGCCACAGGAGUUGUCCUUGAUCUGGAUAAAUCCAUAAAAAUUGUGAAGAAAUUAAAGCUAACUGGUUUUCCAUAUAAAAUUUUUAAGAACACUUCAUUUAUUAAGGGAAUGUUUAAUUCAGCCUUGGAAGUGGCCAAAUUUGAAGGUGCUGUGAUUCGAACUGUCAGUGGGAUAAGGGGGCAGAUCAAGAAAGCACUCUGAGCUCCAGAAGGAGCUUUCCGGGCCAGCUUUGAGGAUAAGCUGCUGAUGAGCGAUAUUGUCUUCAUGCAAACUUGGUAUCCUGUUUCCAUCCCAGCCUUCUAUAACCCAGUAACAUCUUUGUUGAAACCAGUGGGUGAGAAAGACACCUGGUCAGGAACGCGGACCACGGGCCAACUCAGGCUUGCCCAUGGUGUCAGACUAAAGGCAAACAAGGACUCUCUGUAUAAGGUUCCCUCUCCCAGCCUGUGCUGACUCAGCCAUCUUCCCAUUCUGCAUCUUCUGGAGCAUCAGUCAGACUCACCUGCAUGCUGAGCAGUGGCUUCAGUGUUGGGGACUUCUGGAUAAGGUGGUACCAACAAAAGCCAGGGAACCCUCCCCGGUAUCUCCUGUACUACCACUCAGACUCCAAUAAGGGCCAAGGCUCUGGAGUUCCCAGCCGCUUCUCUGGAUCCAACGAUGCAUCAGCCAAUGCAGGGAUUCUGCGUAUCUCUGGGCUCCAGCCUGAGGAUGAGGCUGACUAUUACUGUGGUACAUGGCACAGCAACUCUAAGACUCACACAGUGCUCCAGACCCAUGAGGAAGUAAGACAAAACCCUCCCCUCUACUCUCCUGGUCUAGUGAAAUCACCCCUGCUGGUGGCUCUGACCAAAUCUAGCUCAGGGGGUGACAUCUGUUGUCUCAUCGACAGCACUGGAGCUCCCACGGAGAAGUAGGUCUAACAAAGUCCUACCUUGCUCGCAUUUCACAGGCAGACAUCCCUUGCUCAGGGGUAAAAUCUCUCAGUGUUGACAUUGAAGAAGGCAAGAGGGCUGGGUUGGGGUUCAUCUCAGCUCAGAGUCUAGAAGUGACUCAGAGAUGCUGCUGGUCUGAGAGUUUUAAUAUGAGCCUUGGGAUACAAUACAGGGAUGCAGAUGGGAAUUGUAUUCUCUUUGUCAGUAACGAACCAUCAGUAAUUGAAAAGUCAAUACAUUGAGAAUAGCAUAAAGCAUGAAAUACUUUAGGAUAAGUAUGACAAAAAUUGUUGUUUUACACACUAGAAGUCCUAAAACAUUGUUUAGACACAGGUCUUAAAGAAGACCUGAGUAAAUGCACAGAUAAUCCUUUUUUUUUUUUUUUUUUUUUGAGGCAGAGUUUCACUCUUGUUGCCCAGGCUGGAGUGCAAUGGCAUGAUCUUGGAUCUCGGCUCACCACAACCUCCACCUCCUG
rnacentral:lncRNA from 1 species